GUGUUAAGUGAUUGUUGCCAGGAUACAAGCGUCAAUCGGAUUAUUUUGUUAUUUUAUUCCCAACAAAAUGCGACAGCUAUUUAGGCUUUUUGUAUUAGCAGUUCGCUGUAAGCAUUUCCAAAUACUUGUAGUGUCAAAAGUUAUGCGGACAUGUCAGGCAGACGAUACAUCAUCGUUCCCAAAAAACUGUUUACAUUUCAAAAUCGAAACUUUCAGCGACGAGACGCAAUGGGGAAGUUCAUUAGUUUUAAAAAUAAUUUUUCACCUGGUCUAGAUUAAGUACUUUUCGAUCGUGUCAAAGAGUCACAUACGCAUAUAUUCCCAUUUAUUAACUCAAGCCAGAUCUAAAGUUGAAUAAGAGUUGAUAAAUUAUUUAUAGCAAAAACGGAUACAUAACCACAGGCAAAGCGAAGGUAUUCCCCCACAUCACCAGUGAAAAUAAGUGAAAUAAACAAAUUGUCAAUCAGGCCUCUUAGACAGGCACCUACGAUUUUAAAAGAACCCACCAAGAGGUGGAAAAGUGAAAAAAAGUGGAUGUGAACCUAUACAACAGAACAAUUAAAAGUACACAUAAGAAAAAAUAAUAAUAAAAAAAUACGUACUUAAACAUACAUUAAGUGAUUAAAUCCAUGAAACGGGCGCGAAACCUACUAAAACAAAACAAAUACAAAAAAAAACUAAAAAUCAAGUACGGGCGCGGUAAAAUCCAUAAUACGCCAACAACAACAAAAAUAAAAACCCAAAACCUACACACAAGUAUAUAGGAUUCUCAACAGGCAAGCAGCG